CGGUAAUACGGAGGGUGCGAGCGUUAAUCGGAAUUACUGGGCGUAAAGACGCAUGCAGGUGGUUUGUUAAGUCAGAUGUGAAAGACCCGGGGCGUCAACCUCGGAAUUGCAUUUGUAAACUAGGCAGACUAGAGUACUGUAGAGGGGGGUAGGAAGUUUCAGGUGUAGCGGUGAAAUAGCGUAGAGAUCUGAAGGAAUACCGGUGGCGAAGGCGGCCCCCUCGGACAGAUACUGACACUCAGAUGCGAAAGCGUGGGGAGCAAACAGGAUUAGAUACCCUGGUAG
rnacentral:rRNA from 1 species